rnacentral:ncRNA from 1 species
UUUUAUAUAAAUUUAUAAAAAUUUUUAGGUUUAUUUUGGCUUAUUGUAAAAUUAUUUUAGUUGAGUAAAUUUAAUCAAGGAUUUUUAAGUAUUAGGUUUAUAAUUUAAUAAUUAAAUAAAGUAAAUUUUUAAUAUAUGUAUUAUAUAUAUAUAUUAUUUAUAUUAAUAUUAAAUAUUUAUAUGAUAAUAGAUAUAUAAAUAAAUAUUGAAUCUAUAUUAAUAUAUAUUAAUUAUAUAUUAUAGAGAACUAUUAAUAUAUGCAUUUAUAUAAACUAAAAAGAAAUAAAUAAUAUAUGUAUUAUCUAUAUUAAUAUUAAACAUUUAUAUAAUAUAGAUUAUAUAUAUAAAUAAAUAUUGAAUCUAUAUUAAUAUAUAUUAAUUAUAUAUUAUAGAGAACUAUUAAUAUAUGCAUUUAUAUAAACUAAAAAGAAAUAAAUAAUAUAUGUAUUAUCUAUAUUAAUAUUAAACAUUUAUAUAAUAUAGAUUAUAUAUAUAAAUAAAUAUUGAAUCUAUAUUAAUAUAUAUUAAUUAUAUAUUAUAGAGAACUAUUAAUAUAUGCAUUUAUAUAAACUAAAAAGAAAUAAAUAAUAUAUGUAUUAUCUAUAUUAAUAUUAAACAUUUAUAUAAUAAUAUGUGUAUUUAUAAUAAAUUAAAUAACUUUAUAUAAAUAUUUAAUACUAAAAAAAAAAAAAAAAAAUAUUUAUAAUUAUUAGCUGAUUUAAAUUAGUUAUUUAGUUAAUUUUUAUAACAGUGUUUAAUUUUUUAAAAUAAUUUUAAAAAUUGUGUAAAAAUUGAUUUAAGGGGAUCAGUUGAAUGGGAGGAUUUGAUUAUAAUUAAUUAUCUAUUAAAUAAUUAAUUUAAUUAUCUAUUUAAUUAAAUUUAUUUAUUUAUGCUAAUUAUAUUUAAUAGUUUUUUAGUAAAUUUUAAUUUUUACGUUUUAUAUAAAAGUUUUAUUUUGGCUUAUUAAUUUAUUAUAAGUUUGUUUAUAUAUGUAAAUUUUUGUGAGAAUUUAUUUUGUUCUAAAAGAAUAUUUUAUUAUUUCUAUUCGCAGUAUAUGAUAUUAAUUAUUAGGUAACUCUAGAAUUGGUAAUGUUGUUAAGUAUUGGCUAAAUUUGUGCCAGCCGCUGCGGUUAUACAAAGAAUACUAGUAAAUUAUAUUGGAUACGAGUUAGGUAAUAAUUUAUUUAAUAAAUAGUAAUUUUUUAGGUGAAAUUUUAAUUUACUUUAAUUAAUAAAUUAAGAAUUAUUGAAACUCAAAAAUUUUUGUUAUAAACUAGGAUUAGAUACCCUAUUAUAAAAAUUGUAUAAUUGAUAGACCAGAGUAGUAUUAGUUAGGGUCUUGAAACUCAAAAAAUUUGGCGGUAUUUUAGUCUAUUUAGAGGAACCUGUAGUAUAAUCGAUAAUCCACGAUGGACCUCACUUAAUUUUGUUUUUCAGUUUGUAUACCGCUGUUAUUUGAAGAUUUUAUAAGAAUAUUAAUUUUCAAGAUUUUUGAUUAAAGAAUAUAUCAGGUCAAGGUGCAGCUUAUGAUUAAGUAUUUAUGGGUUACAAUAAAAUUAUUUAAACGAAUAAAAAUAUGAAAUUAUUUUUUGAAGGUGGAUUUAAUAGUAAAUUUUUAAAGAUAAAAGAAUUGAUUUUAGCUCUAAAAUAUGCACACAUCGCCCGUCGCUCUUGUUAUUAAUAUAAGAUAAGUCGUAACAUAGUAGAUGUACUGGAAAGUGUAUCUAGAAUGAC